GAUGAACGCUAGCGGCAGGCCUAAUACAUGCAAGUCGAACGGCAGCACGGGUAGCAAUAUCUGGUGGCGAGUGGCGCACGGGUGCGUAACGCGUAUGCAAUCUACCUUUAACUGGUGAAUAGCCCGAAGAAAUUCGGAUUAACACACCAUAGUAUAAUUGAGUGGCAUCACUUAAUUAUUAAAACUCCGGUGGUUAAAGAUGAGCAUGCGUGACAUAGCUAGUUGGUGAGGUAAUGGCUCACCAAGGCUACGAUGUCUAGGGGAUCUGAGAGGAUUAA
rnacentral:rRNA from 1 species